rnacentral:misc_RNA from 1 species
AACGCACCUUGCGCUCCUUGGUAUUCCGAGGAGCAUGCCUGUUUGAGUGUCAUUAAAUUCUCAACCUAACACCUGUUUUUCAAUGGGUUUUGUUAGGCUUGGAUAUGGGGGCUUGCAGGUCCGCUCUUUUGUGGUCUGCUCCUCUGAAAUGCAUUAGUGGGUUUGUGCCCCUCAUCUAUUGGUGUGAUAAUUAUCUACGCCGUGGGUGAUGGAUUGGCCGUCAAUGAACCUGCUCAUAACCGUCCGUCUCGGACAACUUUGAUCAUUUUGACCUCAAAUCAGGUAAGACUACCCGCUGAACUUAA